AAAAGUGAAAAGGUUCAAAGAACUGGAGAAAAUGAUAGGACAUUGGAUGAUGAAAUAAAUGAGUUUAAGGGAUAGGUGCAGGACACUUGUCAAGGACUCUAGAUCUUCCUAUCCAAGGGGCAUGUAAACAAAUUAGGACCUCUUGUAUUGUGCGUACUACUCGAGAGAACAUUAGAGUUUUAUAUAAUUAACUGAGCAAACAAGCUACAAGUUUUGGAGUCAAUCGUUGUUAGUUCAUGACAUCAGAGCCAUCAUUCAGUCACAUUGCCCCCAAUGAAUAUGGUUUUUAGUUUAAAUUUAGAUGUAACCAUGCUUAGUGAAUGGUUUUUAUUUAUGUUUUGAUGAUAUGUUUCGGUUUCAAUGUUACAGUGAUUGACAUUACAUAUUUUAAUUAAUAUAUUGUCUUUUUGUAUCUUUA